rfam:Nestor notabilis contig4749, whole genome shotgun sequence.
CAAUAGGCUUUACUGAAAGCCACAUGUCUAUCUGACAGAGAGUGU